CCCCCCCCCCCCCCCCCCCCCCCCCCCCCCCCCCCCCCCCCCCCCCCCCCCCCCCCCCCCCCCCCCCCCCCCCCCCCCCCCCCCCCCCCCCCCUGCCUGCCCGCGGGCUGCUCCGCGCCGGGGUGCUGUGGGCGCGCCGGCAGCGGGCGGCAGCGCGGGCUGGCCUGCAGCACCGCUGUUCGCGGGCGCCCUGCCCUGCGGAGCCUCCUGCGCCGCUCCAGGAGCCGCCGGAUCGCCGGGCAGAGUGAAGACUGCCGGGGUCACUUUCAAUUGAGACUGUCUCCCUCCAUUGGAACAGUGACAGCUCUUCCUGGUGGUAUUUCUAAGCUCAUAUGCAGGAUGUUGAAGAGACUGUCUCACACAAAAGUCUUCAAAGGCUGCAGGGACUUCUUUGGCAGUGAGAACUAAAGCAUGACUGCCAUCCAGGAAGUGACUGGUUUUUUCCUUCCAUUUCCCUGAAAAACUUGUGAAAUUCCUGAGAAGCACAACUUUUUUCUGAAGUUCUGAAGAUUUUUUCUGAGUUCUGAAGCUCAUAUGAACAAAAAGGAGGACAUUUUUUUUUUUAGCUCUGC
rnacentral:lncRNA from 1 species